UACCAGCUCUUCGAGUGGUGUGGAUGUUUAUUGGGCCUAAAGCAUCCGUAGCUGGCUGGGCAAGUCCCCUGUUAAAUCCACCGAUUUAAUCGUUGGAGUGCGGGGGAUACUGUUCGGCUAGGGGACGGGAGAGGCAGACGGUAUUUUCGGGGUAGGGGUGAAAUCCUAUAAUCCCGGGAAGACCACCAGUGGCGAAGGCUGUCGGCUAGAACGCGCCCGACGGUGAGGGAUGAAAGCUGGGGGGAGCGAACCGGAUUAGAUACCCGGGUAGUCCCAGCUGUAAACGAUGCAGGCUAGGUGUUUGGGCGGCCACGUGCCGCUCUAGUGCCGCAGGGAAGCCGUUAAGCCUGCCGCCUGGGGAGUACGGCCGCAAGGCUGAAACUUAAAGGAAUUGGCGGGGGAGCACCACAAGGGGUGAAGCUUGCGGUUU
rnacentral:rRNA from 1 species